rnacentral:rRNA from 1 species
GACGAACGCUGGCGGCGUGCUUAACACAUGCAAGUCGUACGGUAAGGCCCUUUCGGGGUUACACGCGUGGCUAACGGGUGAGUAACACAUGAGUAACCUGCCCACCACUUUCUGAUAACGCUAGUCAACUGAUUCUAAUACUUGAUAUGUGCUCCUGCUGCAUGGUGGGUGUUGGAAAGCUCCGGCGGGUGUGGAUGGACUCACGGCCGAUCAGCUUGUUGGUGGGGUAGUGGGCUACCUAGGGGGCGACGGGUGGCCGGCCUGCGAGGGUGACCGGCCACAUUGGGACUGAGAUACGGGCCAGACUCCUACGGGAGGCAGCAGUGGGGAAUAUUGCACAAUGGGGGCAAGCCUGAUGCAGCAAAGCCGCGUGGGGGAUGACGGGCUUCGGGUUGUAAACCGCCUUCAGCAGGGACGAAGCUUUUUGUGACGGUAACUGCAGAAGAAGCACCGGCUAACUACGUG